AGAGAGAGAGAGAGAGAGAGAGAGAGAGAGAGAGAGAGAUCUGCUGUCUGUGUUUACAUUUCGUGGUCGGUAGUUGACAUUUCGCUCGCUGUAGAUUUGCGUGUUUUUCAUGUAUUUUCCGGUCUCUAACGCCGCCAAUACAGUGGCGGCAGGCAGUGUGUGUGCGUGUGUGUGUGUGUGCUCGACAAAGAGAGACGGACAGAGAGAAGGGGGGAUGAACAUAAGGGCAGGAGGAGUAUUUUGGUCAGCACUGGUCAGUCUUGCCCCAUACACACACACACACACACACACACUAGUGAGUGUGCAGUGUGUGUGCGUGUGUGUGUGUGUGCGCGACAAAGAGAGACGGACAGAGAGAAGGGGGGAUUGAACAUAAGGGCAGGAGGAGUAUUUUGGUCAGCACUGGUCAGUCUUGCCCCACACACACACACACACACACACACACACACACUAGUGACCAGUGUUUCCAUAUUCCCUGGAGCUUCCUCCUGCAUUAAACACCACCAAGCAUCAUCAAAGAGACACGACUGCUUAAUGACAGUGAUGGAAGCAGAAUGUUUUCCUCGGCAUUGGUCAGUCUUAACACACACACACACACACACACAGACACUAGUGACCAGUGCUUCCAUAUUCCCUGCAGCUUCCUCCUGCAUCAAACACCACCAAGCAUCACUAGAGAGACACGGCUACUUAAUGUAAUGUGAGUACAGUAAUGACUGCCACGGUUAACAUCACCGCCUACACCAUAACACUCAACCCUUCCUCCUCCCUCCAGUAGCGUCUUUCAGUUCUUCAUUAUUAUUCGUUAUUAGGGUACUUUUUGAGAUUAUCGAUUUAUAUUUUACUUAUGUUUAUAUCUGAGUCGCGAUAUAGCUUGAAAUUUAGUAAAAAAUAAUGAAGGAUCGUCAAAAUGACAUCUGCGGUAGACAUAGGUCGUCCCUACUCAGCCAUUAUUUGCUUUAUUUCUCACGUAUUGUAAGCCAAACAUGUCACAAAAUGUAGCCUCAGUUCGAAUUUUCAUGUCCGCCUGUGAGGUAUAUCGCCAUUGCCUGGCUUUAGUGUGAUAACAGAGUAAUUCAGGCAAAUUAGCGGCCGCCAUGUUUGAUCUCUACAGGCCCCAGCCUGCUCUUCGGUUCCAAUAUAUUUUCGUUUUCCUUAACUCUUUAAGUUCGGUUUCUAAGUAAUUUUUUAUGGUUUGUAUAAAUGUUUCGUUGCUUAUGAAGUGGUUUUGAGGCUUUUGUUAAGGAAAUGUGUUGUAUUUGCUGUUGUUUAUAACGUAACUAUAGGCCUGUUUUUGGGCUGAAUUUUACGGAACCCCAUUGUUGGCUUUUUUAUUCGAGGCUAUAAUGAAGUUCUUUAUACUUUAAAAAAUCGCUUAUGAUUUUUAAACUGGUUUGCCGUCCUGUUGAGUUAAAUAUGUGGACUUUAAAAUGAUUUGUGGUCCUGUUAAAAGUCGAAAUGUUGACAUUUUUUAUUUCCUUAUUUCCUUAUUUGAGCUUUUAAGUAACUCUAGGUUAUUUGAAAAAAUAGUUCAGAUUUUUUAAAGUGCUUUGCAUUGCUAUUAAGUUAAAAUGGGUGGACUUUUCAAUGUUUUUUAUUCGUGUUUAGGUUCCAACACUUUUUUUUACAGAUUUAUUUUUCAUUCGUUUACUUCUGGUUCUAGGUAAGUUUUAAUUGAUUGAAAAGAUAGUUCAUAUUUUUAAAGUGUUUUUAUUUCUGUUAAGUGAAAAAAUAGGUAGACUUUUCAAUGGUUUUAAUGGGGUCAAAUGUUCCAACGUUUUUUUCAUAAUUCAUAUUGAUAUUUCUUUCAUACUACUGAGGCUGGAGAUGUUAUAAUAUUAUGAAUAUUUAUUAAAGUAAUUAUCAAGUCAGAAUAUAUAAUGCAUUCCAACCUAGCUCCAUUUUUUCUAUGGGUCAAUUUUAAAAUGAAAUACGUUACGCACGUAUCCUGGCGUGACGUCACGACCUUAGGUGUGACGUCAUCAGGGGGCCAGGGGGGGGUCUCUGCCACAGACCCUUAUCUUCAAUAUUUCGAGUAAUUUCUAGUAUUUUUGACGUUUUUCCGUGUGUUUCUUAGCUCAGGCAUGUAGAUAUUAGUUGUAGGAGGAAGAAAAAAGAAUAAAUAGGGAAGGAGGACGAAAAAGAAAGGAGAAAUGAAGGAGGCAAAACAGGGAAAUCCUAAGACAACAAUAUUUAGCUUAGUUUUCUAUGCUGCCCUGCCUUUGUUUGUAAUAUUUUCCUUGCCUGAGAGUGUCAGACUUUUUAAUGUGUUUGGAUGCGUUUUUUAGGUGAUUGAGUGUGUUUGGCGUGUUUUGGGUGCAUUUUGGUUUGUCCGGGUUUGUUUUGUAGGUGUUUGAAUAUGUUCGUGGGUGUAUUUUUUGUGUGUUUGGAGGUGUUUUGAGUGUGUUCUGGUGAUUUUAGGGUAUUUUGGAAUGUUUUAGAUGAUCUUGGCUGCCCUUUAAAGUGAUUUUGGGUGUUUUGAGUGUGUUUUGGGGUGAGC